rnacentral:rRNA from 1 species
CCUACGGGAGGCAGCAGUGGGGAAUUUUGGACAAUGGGCGCAAGCCUGAUCCAGCAAUGCCGCGUGAGUGAAGAAGGCCUUCGGGUUGUAAAGCUCUUUUGUCAGGGAAGAAACGGUGGGGGCUAAUAUCUCCUACUAAUGACGGUACCUGAAGAAUAAGCACCGGCUAACUACGUGCCAGCAGCCGCGGUAAUACGUAGGGUGCAAGCGUUAAUCGGAAUUACUGGGCGUAAAGCGUGCGCAGGCGGUUUUGUAAGUCUGUCGUGAAAGCCCCGGGCUCAACCUGGGAAUUGCGAUGGAGACUGCAAGGCUUGAAUCUGGCAGAGGGGGGUAGAAUUCCACGUGUAGCAGUGAAAUGCGUAGAGAUGUGGAGGAACACCGAUGGCGAAGGCAGCCCCCUGGGUCAAGAUUGACGCUCAUGCACGAAAGCGUGGGGAGCAAACAGGAUUAGAUACCCUGGUAGUCCACGCCCUAAACGAUGUCUACUAGUUGUCGGGUUUUAAUUAACUUGGUAACGCAGCUAACGCGUGAAGUAGACCGCCUGGGGAGUACGGUCGCAAGAUUAAAACUCAAAGGAAUUGACCGG